CCUUAGGCUCCGGUAGACUGCAAAUGACCUGCUUUCUUUCUGUUCCCGGGCUGCGUUUGGACCCCUGUCGGAUAGUAAAUCCCAAGUAAGGUACCUGCCCUCGGCAGAUUUGAGCUUUCUUCUUGGACACCUAAUACCCACAGUCCCCCAGGCUCCGGUAGACUGCAAAUGACCUGCUUUCUUUCUGUUCCCGGGCUGCGUUUGGACCCCUGUCGGACAGUAAAUCCCAAGUAAGGUACCUGCCCUCGGCAGAUUUGAGCUUUCUUCUUGGACACCUAAUACCCACAGUCCUCCAGGCUGUAGAUGAAGGGGUUCAGCAUGGAGGUGAUCACCGUGUACAUCACUGAGGCCACUGCAGCCUUUCUCGGGGAAGAUGACACAUCUGAACUGAGGUACCCUCCAAAGCCUGUUCCGUAAAAUCAGCAAACAACUGACAGGAUAACUUCAGGAAGUGGGUAUUAAUUCUCACGGUAUAAGUGAAGACAUUAAGCACCAGAGUUUAAGUAGCUUGAUCCACUGAAAGAGAUUCAACUGUGUGGAACCUAUGCCGUGGAGAAUUGCUUUCUGCCAUUGUUAUCGUCCAGCAGUUGCCGAAUAGCUCUGACCUGAGCAAAGCAGUGAAACGCGGUGCUGUUGAGUGGGUUGCCACUGCACCUUUUUCAACUACUCUAGUCUUGUGGAGAAAAUACCCCUUCUAAAUUUUUUCUUCAUUGAAUACUCUCCCUCAGCUCCAGAGUACCAUAUAGAGUUUUCUUGUAUUUUAGAGUUACUGUUUUAUCAAAGUUUACCAGUCUUUUGUAUUACAUUUCUCCUGUCUAAA
rnacentral:lncRNA from 1 species